CUCCACCACUUCCUUCAAAGCACACAUCUUGGAUCGACGAGAACCGCUUAAUCAACUUCUUCGAUCUUGGGACCAGCACUGCUGCCACCAGCAGGAGGAACAUCUUCAUCCAUGCCGCCACCGACAUCAGGUCCACCAGCACCACCCUGGUACAUCUUGGCAAUGAUCGGAUUGCAGAUGCUCUCCAGCUCCUUCAUCUUGUCCUCAAACUCGUCGGCCUCAGCAAGCUGGUUUCCGUCAAGCCAUUGGAUGGCCUGGUCAAUUGCAUCCUCAAUCUUCUUCUUGUCAGCUGCGUCUAGCUUGGAGGCAAUCUUAUCGUCCUUGAUCGUGUUCCUCAUAUUGUAGGCGUAAUUCUCCAGAGCAUUCUUGGCCUCCACCUUCUUCUUGUGCUCCUCAUCUUCUGACUUGUACUUCUCAGCCUCUUGAACCAUCUUUUCAAUUUCUUCCUUCGACAAUCUUCCCUUGUCAUUGGUGAUGGUAAUCUUGUUCUUCUGCCCUGUAGUCUUGUCUUCAGCCGAGACGUUCAAUAUACCGUUGGCAUCAAUAUCAAAGCAGACAGUGAUUUGCGGAACACCCCUUGGAGCAGGAGGAAUGCCAGAAAGCUCAAAUUUUCCCAACAAGUUGUUAUCACGAGUCCUUGUCCUUUCACCCUCAUAUACUUGGAUCAAGACACCGGGCUGAUUGUCUGAGUAGGUUGAGAACACUUGCUCCUUCUUGGUUGGAACAGUAGUGUUCCUUGGAAUCAACACAGUCAUCACACCUCCGGCAGUCUCCAAACCAAGGGACAGAGGAGUGACAUCCAGAAGCAAUAGAUCCUGCACCUUCUCAUUACCCUCACCGCUCAAGAUGGCAGCCUGCACGGCGGCACCAUAAGCUACAGCCUCGUCUGGGUUGAUGCUCUUGCAUAGCUCCUUGCCAUUGAAGAAGUCUUGCAACAACUGCUGUACCUUCGGAAUCCUAGUAGAGCCACCCACUAGCACAACAUCAUGGACCGUGCUCUUGUCCAUCUUUGCAUCUCUCAAACACUUCUCAACGGGCUCCAUACACUUUCUGAAGAGAUCCAUGUUAAGCUCUUCAAACCUGGCACGGGUAAUGGUUGAGUAGAAAUCAACACCCUCGUACAAAGAAUCAAUCUCAAUUGUGGUCUGAGCAGUGGAGGAGAGAGUCCUCUUUGCCCUCUCACAAGCAGUUCUCAACCUCCUAAGAGCUCUUGGGCUGCUGCUGAUGUCCUUCUUGUGCUUCCUCUUGAACUCUUGAACAAAGUGAUUCACCAUUCUGUUGUCGAAAUCUUCUCCUCCCAAGUGGGUGUCUCCGGCAGUUGCCUUCACUUCAAAGAUACCCUCUUCAAUUGUGAGCAGGGAGACAUCAAAAGUGCCUCCGCCAAGAUCGAAAAUCAAGACAUUCUUCUCCCCAACGCUGGUUGCCUUCUUGUCAAGACCGUAUGCAAUAGCGGCAGCGGUGGGCUCAUUGAUAAUACGCAAAACAUUAAGGCCGGCAAUGACCCCAGCAUCCUUUGUGGCCUGACGCUGAGAAUCGUUGAAGUAAGCCGGGACAGUAACAACGGCAUUCUUUAUAGAUGAGCCAAGAUAGGCCUCAGCAAUCUCACGCAUCUUGACGAGAACCAUGGAGGAAAUUUCUUCAGCAGCGAACUGCUUCUCUUCGCCCUUGUAUAUGACAACAAUCAUGGGCUUGUCACCGGGGCCGGGAAUGACCUUGAAAGGCCAGUGCUUCAUGUCACCCUGGACAGAAGGGUCAGAGUAUCUCCUACCAAUCAACCGCUUGGCAUCUGAAAAAUUAACCAAGCUCGUUUAAAAUACUAAUUUAUUAAUUACGCAUAACACAGAACAUGCUACCAAUCAAGCUAAAUCCUUUAAAUAUUAUCAAAAAUAAAAAUAACCAAACAGAUCAAGCUUCAAACACUACAAGCUCAGACAGCGUUUCUAAAAUUUCACCAUCAAUUAACAAGAAACUUAAAACCCAAAUUAUAAUUUUUAAGAGAUUAACUAAAACUCAAAGCCUUGAUCACCAAGUACAAUAUUUGAUAGUCCUUUAAUAUUAACUACAUAAAUCCUGCAAAUAACAAUAAAUAAAAAAAUCAACCAUUUUUUUUCUUUUUCAAUUCGCUAUAAAAAGAUUCAAGGCAGGCAAAAACCUCGCAUAAAAUUAGCUCCAUCGUAAUUUAUCACACCGAACCUCAAAAAGAGAAGUACUUUCAAGGAAAUUGAACUCUUUUUCUCAGAAAUUCAAGCAACAGAAAUCCAAAAACAGAAAAAUUUAAACCAGCAGCAAAUAUUGACAGUAAAUUCAUAAAAUCAGCCAUACAAGCAUAUAGAUCAGACAGUACAGAGUAAAAUUGAUUCAAAAAACGCAACAUGCAAGGCAACAAAAAAAAAAACAUCAUAACAUCAGAAAUAUCGCAAGAAAAGAGAAGAAUUUCGAUUCUUACCAAAGACGGUGUUGACGGGGUUCAUCGCUACCUGGUUCUUGGCCGCAUCGCCGAUCAACCUCUCCGUGUCAGUAAACGCCACGUAAGACGGAGUCGUCCGGUUGCCCUGAUCAUUGGCGAUGAUCUCGACACGAUCGUGUUGCCAAACACCGACGCACGAGUAAGUGGUUCCGAGAUCGAUCCCGAUCGCUGGCCCCUCUCCCUUUCCCGCCAUUGCAACCGCAGAGAUUCAAGCAAUCGAACAAGCAAAGAAUCGCAGAUAAAAUUAAAGAUCGAACCGCAGAGAAAAGUAAAGAGCUUCUGAGAUUUUUUGUGCAAUGGGCUGUUCGUAGUCACAGGUGUUGGAUUAAGAGUAGUGAAUUGGGGGGCUAUAUAGUAGGACACUUGUCUAGAAUGUUCGUGAGGAUAUUGACGAUUUUUGGUGGGAGGGUGUCCAGAAUGUUCGGUUUGAUAACGGCCGUUGGAUUCGAGUGUCGUGGACGGUGAUGAUUUGAUUUGCUUCGCGGGGUUGGUUUCUUUACUUUUUGAUCGAAACUUCGUGUCCACUCCCUUCGUCGUCGGAAAUUUGUCUUCUCGUCAAUUUCCUUGUUGGAAAACGUUUCACAGGACGGUGGCGUUUUGCGUGUGGGCUGUGACUUGACUUUUGGGCUUUCGAAGGGCUUUGAAUCCAAACGUGUUUGGGUCAGGCUGCACUGCAGUCCUUAUGGUAUGUGUUUGUGCAAUACUGUUUACAAUUGCUUUUGGACCAAAUGUAAUGGUUGAGUUAAAGCUUAAAAUUUAAGAAAAAUUAAUGAAAAUGAUUUGAAAACUUUAAGUUUUAACAAUAAAGAUAAAAUAAAGGGUAAAAUGAAUAGUAUCAGGAUUGACUUUUUAGUGUAAAAAUAUGAUUUUUCGUUAAAUUGAACAGUACUGUGAGCUUUUCGUUAAAGUUCUCUAAAAUUUAAUCUUUAUAUUAUAUCCCCCAAGGCAUUUCCAAUUAUUACUCUCUUUUAGUAUUUUUUGGCAUCAAUCCUUGGUAAAAUGCAAGUGAGUCAUGUGAAAGCACUUUAAGUGCUUUUAGGUCUCGUUUGGCAGUUCAGACUAUACUGACUAUUUCAGUCGGAUAGAAUAAUCUAUCACCGGAUUGUACUGACUAAAUUAAUUGAGUGUUUGGUGCAGUAUCAUACUAAUUACCGUAUUAUUUAUAAUCUAUUUGUUACCGUAUCCGAUACGAGAUCGGAUUAUAUUAUUUUUACUAAAAAAAUUUGAUGACUAAUGAAAAAAAGGAAAUAAUUUUUUGAUAAAAAUUCAGAACAACCAAAUGCAUCAAAUUAAAUAAAAAUAAUCUUGAUAUUGCAUUUUCUAUUUGUCCUUUAUUUAAAUCAAAUUAUUAAAAAAAAAAAAAAUCAUUUCUUCCCUAGAUCUUCUCCACUGCACAUGAUUCACCAUACCAAAUGGGAUGGACAAUAGAAUCAGCAUAAACCCUAUACCCAAUAGCAUGAGACUUCUUCCCAAAUGUUCUAUGCAUGUGAGAUUGCUCCCUGAUCUCUCACAUUUCUUUCCAUGAGGAGUCAACCCAAUUCCAACGAUGCUGCAGCGAUGUUGAGCAGUAGGUGAAUGCAGGCGGUGCUCCGACGACGUGGGUUUCAGUUGGAUCUAGUUCAAAUCUAGGAUCGAUGGCACGCGAACCCGUGCAGGCAGAGCCGGCCCUGCGGGUGUACAACAGGUGCCACCGCACAAGGCCACCAAUUCGGAAGGGCCCCUAAAUUUUCAUUACAUAUAUACAGAUGCAUAUAAAAUAGAUUAGAUGCAAAAAAAUAAUCUUAUCUAUGGUUCUAGCGUAAGCGAUUUAGCUCUUCUUUCUUCUAGCUCAUGUGUUGGGUUUGAAUCCCAAUGAUAUUGUUUUGUUAUAUUUUAAGCUUUUGCAAAUUUGUAAACAGGAGAUAAUUUGUUAUAUUUUAAGCUUUUGCAAAUUUGUAAACAAGAGAUAACAAAAAGGCAUUCAACGUGUAUCAAACUCAGGACCUUUGAAGGUAAGGAAAAACACCUGGCUAAUCAAACAACUUAUUUUUGUUGCAGUAACUUGUAAUAUUUUAGUUUUAUAGAUGAAAAAAUUGAAAAAAAAUAAUAAUAAAGAAAUAUAACAUUAAAAAAAAUGAAGGGCCUCCAUCUAAGUUUUGCACAUGGCCCCUCAUUACUCAGGGCCGGCCCUGCGUGCAGGUCCUACAACGAGGAACUGUAGAGGAGGGCGACGGCCGCGACGAGAAACUAAAGAGGAGGGCGACAACUAUAAAGUGCAAAAGGAAGAAGAAGAUGAAGAAGAAAUGAGAAGGAUGAAGAAGAACCUGGGGUUGAAGAUGGAAACAGAAGUGAGUUUGUAGAAUGAUGCGAGAAAGCCAGACCGAUAGAGGGAGGACACAGACCCGACUAAUAAUACAUAGGUUUUUGGAAGGAUAAAUAGCGGCCAUACACCGGAUAAAAGAUGUAGGCCUAGUUUAAGUAAUACGGGUACUAUUUAGUACAUAGUUGCACCAAACACCCGGCUCCAUAUAACUUAUCCUAUAUGAUUCCUUGUACAACUCACAAAUGAGGCCUUAGAACCCGAAAAUAUUUUCACUAAAAGUCAUUUCAUUCAUUUUAAAAGCACUUCCAAAAAAGCUCUUAAUAAAGCAUAAUGAUUGGAAAUGUUUGGGAGGGACAUUGCAUUUGAUCUAAAAGCAUUUCUAAACUGAUUCAUCAUGUAUUGCACAAACACACACCAUAUGAACUGUAGUGAAUCAAAUUUCACGCAACAUACUCUAUAAAUACCUAUGUAUUUAUUCAAACAUCCACACAAAAUUAGGAUAAUCUACAUAAUGUGUAGAAAUGAUUUUUCAUAUGUGUAUGAACUUGUGUUUAAGAAUGGGGUGGAUUUGUGUGAUUUUUUUUAUUAUUUAUUAGAAUUCUAAUAUUUUUAGCUUAAAAUAUAAAUAAAAAUAAAUUAGUAUAAUCUACGUAAUUUUUUUUUUAAAUUAUCGUGAAAAAAAUUAAGCUAAAAUUAAUUUUUAAUAAUUUGGGGCUUCAAUUAAAAAAAGCCAUAACUAUUGGAAGUAAAAAACUUUUUAUAGGUUAUACCUUAAAAUUUCAUGUUUAACUCACACCAUUGCACAUUGUUUUACAACUGAUUUUAUAAUGCUCAUUAGCGUUUCUUCUACAAGGAACUACUGCUACAGAACUAAUAGCCUCCAUAGCCUCAGCUGCUUUGAUGACUUAUAACUUCUCCAAAGCAGAUGUCAAAAUUGCCACAUAGACAUAUACUCGAACCGAGCCUUCAAUUUCCUAUACGGCGUUGAGUCAAUUGAAGACAAAGUAUUCUGUUGUCAAAUCCAUUUAGUAUUUUUCUAAUAAAUUUAAUGCAAAUAUAAUAAACGUUGUGUAUUCUAAGAAUUUGAUUGGUUGCCUACAUAAAUAGACCCCACAAAGUGAUUAAUUUUUUUUUAAAUGACAUUAUUGUUUAACAUAUCGGGUGGUAAAAAGAAUUACUCCACAAAGUGAUUAAUUUUUUUUAAAUGACAUUAUUAUUUAACAUAUCGGGUGGUGAAAAGAACAAUAAAGACAAAAUUCAAACAGGAAAUCUGAGAGAAUUUUGUAAAAAAAAAAAAGGCUUCUUUGGCAAAAUACCGGAAUACGAUAUUGAACAAAAUGACCAAAAUCACCAAACAUCCUACAUCUUGGAUUUUAGAAUCCCAUAAAAAAGUACCCAAUUCCAAACCUUAAACUAAGAAACAGAAAAAUACGUUCACCACUUUCUUCAAAGCAAACACUUUGGAUCAACAAAAACCGCUUACUCAACUUCUUCGAUAAUAAUAUUGGGACCAGCACCGCUGCCAGCAGCAGGAGGAAAGUUCCCCCAGCACCCUGUUCCCUGGUACAUCUCGGCACUGAUCGAAUUGCAGAUGCUCUCCAGCUCCUUCUUCUUUUCCUCAAACUCGUCAGCCUCAGCAAGCUUGUUUCCGUCAAGAAAAAGAAAGUAUCUCGAUUCUUACCCAGGACGGUGUUGACGGGGUUCACGGCGACCUGGUUCUUGGCCGCAUCGCCGAUCAGCAUCUCCGUAUCAGUAAACGCCACGUAAGACGGCGUCGUGCGGUUACUCUGAUCAUUAACGAUGAUCUCGACGCGGUCGUGUUGCCAAACACCGACGCACGAGUAAGUAGUUCCGAGAUCUAUACCGAUCGCUGGCCCCUCUCCCUUUCCCGCCAUUGCAACUGCUGAGAUUUAAUCCAUCAAACAAGCAAAGAACCGCAGAGAAAAGUAAAGAGCUUUUGAGAUUUUUGGGCGAUAGGUAAAGAAACUUAGCUAGGAACAAAUCUCAGUUUGUAAAAAUUUCCCGCCUUUUUGUAAGGUAAUGCUAGGGAGACUAAAUUUACAAAUUAAAUUAUGUAUUAUCAACAAAAAUGAGUACCUUUAUUCAUGUUUAAGUAAUAAAUCAAUUAUCAACUUCUAUGUUCUUUAGUUUUCAAAAUUUAGUAUACAAAUUUAGUCUUUCAAACAUUUCUCUUUUUUGCAUGUCCAUGUGGAAUACCAUUUUCCCAUCAUAGGUAGGGUUUUUUUUUCUUUUCCCGUUCACGCAUAAAGACAUUCUUAUAGUAACAAUACGCUAAGGUACAAUGUCUAAUUUUAAUAUUUGUACUUAUCAAGAGACAUUCUUUCAUUUUAAUUUUUUUUAGUUGAAAAUUUGUAUGAACUUUUACACCGUUAUAUUUAAAUUAAGAUACUGCAAGCCUCUUAACUUGAAAAGAGAAAAACGCAUAAAGCCUAUUAAACCAUUAUUUAACUGAUAAAAUAGUAUAUAAUAAAGAAGUUAGUAGAAAACCUAUCGUAAAUACAAACAAAAUGACUUGCACCAAAGCCUAGUAAACCAAAAAGAAAUGAUGAGAAUGUAGAGAGGAUAUUAAUAUUUGUAAAUGUAAAGAACUAAGGGGGUGUUGUUGCGCAGGACUAUCUCAGACUGGACUAGCUUUAAGGACUAAGCUGGACUAGUUUAGACUAGACUAAGCUGGACUAACUUAGUGAAGCGUUUGAUGCAGUGUUGGACUAAGAAGUUGGAUAAUAACAAAUUCUAAUAUUAUAAUAUUUUAUUAUGAUCUAGGUGACCGGAGAUGACGAGGAGUCUAUCGGGAGUGGUUGUUGAGCAUGAUGAGGACGAGAGAGGAUAGUCUUAGCUAGUCCCAUGAUUAUUGGGGGUCUCGCUAAGACUUCUUAGUGAAGGAUUUUGUCCAUGUUAGUCCCCUUUAGUCUCAUUAAUGUUAGUCCCAGCAUGGAACAAACACAGUAUUGGACUAACAGCUAGUCCAAUCCAGUCCAAUCCCACUUAGUGAGGGCAAACAAACGCCCCCUAAAUGAAACGUACACCCAUUACUGGUCCAAAUCUGUAAUCCUUAUUUUAGAUUGCUAAAAUGAAACUGAAAAUGAACGAUGCUAAGUAUACAUGUAUGCUGUCUUUGCUUGCGAAACUCAAGCAAUUUGCUAAAGCUGAGAAACUCUAUACUGAAUAGAACUCUAUUUCGGAGACACUAGGGUUUCAAAUAUACUCCUUGCAGCAUACAUCAAAGAAAACCAAACGAAAGUACUGAAACCUUUUGUUUAUACCAUAUUUAGGGCCUUGUAUUUAGACCUCGUAUAAAUACUCAGGAGACUUAAAUGUAAUUAUGUAAUAAAGGAAGGGGUAAAUAUGUAAUUAGGGGAGGAGCCCUUAUUCUAUAAAAGGGCCUCCUCACCCUCACAAACGGGGGGGGGGGGUCUCUCCUCAUCCCUCUCAAAGCUCUCACUCUCAGAGCUCUCUCUCCCUCAUUUCUCAGAGAAAUAUAAUACAAUCUGUGUUGACGUAGCCCAAACCUUGGGGUGAACCACGAUACAUCUUGUGUCAUUUACAUUACUUGCAGAUUCACGGUCGGAUUUACGUUGUUCCAAGACCUCCGGUUUUGUGCAUCAACAUUUGGCGCCGUCUGUGGGAAACGACACGAAAAGUUAUGUCGGUUCUCUCUCAAAUUUUCAUCUCACCACCGUGAAACCCUCACAACCUCCACCAUGAAUCUGUAGAAACCCAAUAACCAAACACCUAGAGAGUCACUGCAAAACCCAUGUCUUCCGUUCCAGCUCCCGGUCACGGCAGAAGCGAUGGAAACACAACCACCACCUCAUCUCUCUCUCUCUACAUUUUCUGUGCAGAUCUUGAGACCUAAAUCAGAACAUAAGCAUCAAUGUUACAAACUAAACCUGCAUCAGAAAAUAGAGCCUCAGUGCUUCUCAGCCGUUGGAUCCAUAGCGAAGCUCACCAGCUUCACCAUUUUGCUCGCCUUCUUGCUUUCCUGCUUCACUUUUGCUUCUACACAAACUCAAAAUCCCAAAUGGAUUUCAAGCUCCAAGCUCUGCUGUGCCUUGUAGUUCUUCAAGUUCUGGUCUUCUUCUCAAAGGAAGCAGAAGCAGCAGAACACAGCCAUGGCAGCAACUUGAGAGUCCACAAGAAGUAAGUGAGCAGCUGCAAUUUGUUCCAAGGCAAUCAAGGUUUUCACCUACCUUCGAAUCUGCCAUCUUAGUUAGAAGUCCACAAUCAAAUGAACUCCGAAUCCUCGAAUUCAACCGCUGCAGUUCUCUGGGCUCGAGGAUAGGUUGUGGCAGAAAUAACGAAAAAAACAGCCACUGAUGAUGCUGCAAACUCGCCACGGCCACCAGUGGAAAACCAACGAAAAAGGCCAAGAUGCGGAGGUUAGUGCAUCAACACACUUUGUUCCUUAAAGUCAAGGUCCGAGGAGCUGGCUGCGGGAGGAAGAAUGGGGCUGAUCUGGUUUGGAAGGAGUGGCCCAGAUCAUGUCGACAGAGGUAACAGUUUCUUCUGGCAGCCAAAAUUAAAGGUCCACUUCUCUUUCCUCUUUACACCAAUCACCAAAGUCAUCAUCCAUGGCUGCCUCAUCCUCUUCUGCAACCUUCAAGAAGGUCUCUUUUUGCCACCCUUAGCUUGCACAGCCCGCAACCAUCUGCCGCCUACUGCACCACCAUCUUCUCAAGUAGACAGCCACAUCCGGUUUCGUCAGGUCCAUACACGUGUCGCUGCAACUACAGACGCAAAUGGAGACGCCACUGUUUCACGUAGUGAACGGCAGCAAGUUCCAUGACUAUGAGCCGGUGAAGAGCCCACCUGGGCUGUUGCUGGUGUAUGUGCUGUUAUCAUCAUCAUCUCAUUAAUUUUGGAGAAGGUCCUACACAAAGUUCGAAAAUUCUGCACCUAAAAAGAAAUGGAGGGCACGACAAAAGAAGAAGAAAAUGGAGGAAAGGAAUAAAGAAAGAAAAAGGUGUUAGUGGAAUUGUAAACAAUUCCACAAAGAAGUGGAAGACUAUUCUGCACCUAAAAAGAAAUGGAGGGCACGACAAAAGAAAAAAAAAAUGGAUGUCUAGAGAAAAGCAGAAAGUAAAAGCAAAAAGCAAAAGAAGAUAUAAAGAAGUAGACAUAAUUGCAGUGGUGAUGACAUGUAGAAAAGGGAAUUAUGGGCGUGACCCAUUGAGCAGAGGGUGGGCUUUAUUUUUGAAUGAUGUGAUUUAUUUUUUUUAUCUCUAAGAAAUAUCUGUAUAAACCACAUCAGAGGGUAAUAAUACAAAAAAAAAAAAAAACGGCAAAGCCCAAAAUUAAUGGGCUGGCAUGUCAUGGAGGGCGAAUGCCCAUAAGCCCAAAAUAGCACCAACCAGGUGACCAAAAGUAUGCCCAGUACUCCAAAAAUUAUUCGGCAACUUGCCUCUAUUAUCACCAACCAGGUGACCAAAAGUACGCCCAGUACUCCAAAAUUAUUCGGCAACCUGCCGCUAUUACCACCAACCAGGUGAUGAAAUGUACAACCCGUACUCCAAUAUCAUUUGGCAACCAACCAUUCAUACCACCAACCAGGUGAUGAAAUGUACAAACCGUACUCUAAAAUAAUUUGGCAAUUAGCCAUUUAUGCCACCAACCAGGUGAUCAAAAGUACACCCAGUACUUCAAAAUUAUACAUGAGCACUACUCAUGUCAUUCGUACAUAGACAUUCAUGAGCAUCACUCAUAUCAAUCAUACAUAAACAUUUAUGAGCAUCACUCAUGUUAACAUUCAUGAGCAUCACUCAUGUUAACAUCCAUGAGCAUCACUCAUGUCAAUCAAACAUUCAUGAGCAUCACUCAUGACAAUCAGCUUCAAAAGUUUCAUUUACAAAGCCUUAGCUUCAAAAGAGUCAUUUACAAAAGCUCUAGCUUCAAAAGCUUCAUUUACAGAGCUCCAACUUCAAAAGCUUCAUUUACAAAAGCUCUAGCUUCAAAAACUUCAUUUACAGAGCUCCAGCUUCAAAGCUUCACUUGCAAAGCUUCACCUACAAAGCUUCAGUGCAUGGUCUACAAAGACCGCCUCCGAACAACCGCCAUUUCAGCCCAUACAUGGAUUGAAUUUGAAGUCUCCAGCCAACAUCGUCUAUUGACCGAAGACUUGGGGGACUACAUUAUGUACCAUAUAUUAGGCCUCAACUGGGCCUUAUGAAAAAUACUUGGGGGACUCUAGCCCAUUAUUCAUGUACUGAGGAGCGAGCCCUUAUUUUAUAAAAAAGGACUCCCUCACCAUCAUUAGAGAGCAACGCCGCCAGCUGAACAACCGUCUCGCCGCCAGCAUCAACUCUAGCCUAUUAUUUAUGUAUUGAGGAGCGAGCCCUUAUUCUAUAAGAGGAACUCUCUCACUUUAAUUAGAGAGCACCCAUUAUUCAUGUACUGAGGAACGAGCCCUUAUUUUAUAAAAGGGACUCCCUCACCUUCAUUAGAGAGCAACGCCGCCAGCUGAGCAACCGUCUCACCGUGAGCAUCACUCCGAACCCAUAUUUAUGUAUUGAGGAGCAAGCCCUUAUUCUAUAAAAUAGACUCCCCUCACCACCAUUAGAGAGCAUCAACUCUAACCCAUCAUCCAUGUAUUGAGGAGUGAGCCUUUAUUCUAUAAAAGGGACUCCCUCACCUUCAAACGCUGCAAGCCGAGCUAACCAAGGCAACAUAAGCCACGAGCCGAGCAGCCUCGCAGCGUGUGCUACUUCUAGUUGAGCGUCAUUUUAGAUUGAGCACUGCCUCAUAUCGAACAUCAGUUCAAGACAGCAUCUAGUUACUUCGGCCCACACAUGGACUGAAUUUCAAGUCUCCAGCCAAAAGACUCUCUUGACUGAAGACUUGGGGGACUACUGUUUAUACCAUAUUUAGGGCCUCGUAUUUAGACCUCGUAUAAAUACUCGGGGGACUUAAAUGUAAUUAUGUAAUAAAGGAAGGGGCAAAUAUGUAAUUAGGGGAGGAGCCCUUAUUCUAUAAAAGGGCAUCCUCACCCUCACAAACGGGGGGGGGGGUCUCUCCUCAUCCCUCUCAAAGCUCUCACUCUCAGAGCUCUCUCUCCCUCACUUCUCAGAGAAAUAUAAUACAAUCAGUGUGGACGUAGCCCAAACCUUGGGGUGAACCACGAUACAUCUUGUGUCAUUUACAUUACUUGCAGAUUCACGGUCGGAUUUACGUUGUUCCAAGACCUCCGGUUUUGUGCAUCAACACCUUUCAUAGUCGGAUGGAGCAAAAUAUACUUCUUUCGUAUUUUCCCUAUGAAACCAACUUCAAAACUGAUAUACAAAUUAAAAAAUUUCAAACAUUCAAUUACCCAAAAACCACAGUGGUGGAAAUCAAGGCCGGCCCUAAGAAUUUAAGGGCCCUAUGCAAGAUUUAGAUGGAGGCCCUUCAUUUUUUAAUACUGUAUUUUCUUUGUUAUUUUUUUUUUCAAUUUGUAUCUAUAGAAUUUAAAUACUACAAAUUAGAGCACCACUUUGAGUGGACAAUUGAGUGUUUCUUGUCUUGAAAGGUCUUCAGUUUGAAAUAUGUUGCAUGGUUUUUUGUGUAAAACUUAACAACUUUUUAAGUUAAUAAAUUUGCAAAACUUAAAAAUAGCAUUUUUUUUCAAUUUGUAUCCAUAAAAUUUAAAUACUACAAAUUAGAGCACCACUUUGAGUGGACAAAAGUGUUUCUUGUCUUGAAGGGUCUUCAGUUUGAAAUAUGUUGCAUGAUUUUUUGUGUAAAACUUAUCAACUUUUUAAGUUAAUAAAUUUGCAAAACUUAAAAAUAGCAAAAUGGUUCUACAAGGACUUGGACUUGGGCCAUGUACAAGAAGAUAGAAUGCCUACACCACUAGCACUAGUGUGGUGAUUAUUAUUAUUUUGCACAUUUAAGUAUAUAAUAGGUAUCUGUUUACAUGUAAAGAAACUUUGGAGGCCCUUCCGAAUUUGGGGCCUUGUGCGGUGGCACUUUUUGCACACUCUCAGGGCCGGCUCUGGUGGAAAUGAAUUGAGCCAUUGCAUGACAGCGUGUUUUCGAACCCCAUCGGUGACUAAUCUAAUAAAACUUAUCGUUUGACAAAAAAAAUUCAAUUACCCAGAAACCAAAAAUGGAAAUUUUAUUAAAUUAAAUUAAAAUAAACUCAUUGGCAAAAGGAACAUAAAAAUGAAAAUUUCUACUAAAUUAAUUAAUACAAACUAAUGCGCAAGAGGAGCAUAAACAACCUUUUGAAUUAAUCUAAAGAGAUACAAACUAAAAAUACCGGUUGUGGAGCAAAAAAUAAUCACAAGGCGACACGUGGAUUCUUGGGUAAAAGAGGACAAAAAUACCCUUGAGGCAUACUGGGAUUCCUACGCGCGAGCAACGGGCAAUCAUCCCUCAACCAAGUCAAAAGUGCCCAAAAUAGGUAACAAUUUAAAGCCUAUUUCAUCAAAUCCUUUCUAUAAGGUAAUUCCUAAAACCUAAUUUAUUCUAUAUAUUUUGUAUUCCAUUAUUUAGCUAAUCAAUUAGCUAAAUGAUAUUUUCCUUUCAUAUUCCCUAAAAAUUGAUUAAUUAAGGGAUUAAUUACCUAAUCAAUCCCUUAAUUAUCAAUUAAAACACCCAUUCACACCUAAAACUACUAAGAGGUCGGCUACCUCCCUUUUCCUAACCUUUUUCACUUUUCUCCAUUUUAUUACCCCAUUUAUACAAAUAAUCAAUUUUGUAACUCCUAAUUAAACCUAAAUUAAACCCAAAAAACCCUAGCCACCUCCUAUCCCUAUAAAUAUACUCUCAUUCUCACCAAAAAAGCCAAUUCCAACACUUUGGCAAAAAUCCCAAAAUUCUCUAAACACUCUUUCUCUCUAAAUUCUAACUUUGGCAUCGGAGGUUCUUCGGCCAAACCCCCCCAUUCAUCGAGGGCGCACGAGGCUCUUGGCCUUAACCUAAGGUGUUAAUUGUUUUGUAGGUGCAAAAUUGUCCAAGAUCAAGGAGGAAGAAAUUUGCAUCCACAAAUUGGUGCUUUCAUUGAGAGUUGAAAUCCAUACUCGUAGAAGACUCUCGCACAAAAAGGUUUUUUCUUUAUUUUCUAGUCCAUUUGAAUAUUUUUCAUACGUUCUUAUUAUUAGAUUUUUUUACUUGCAAAGGUUCUUUGAUAAAACGUAAGCAAAAUAUGAUGGCUAGAAAUUUAGAAAAUCCACAAGUGAAAAUUCUAAUGUUCAAGAAAUGGGAUUGCGGAGAUCCGUGAGGCUAAAUGCGACAAUAAGUGGAGCAGCACCACCACCACGAGUUUCCACCAUGGGAACCACCACGGUGGCAGGGUCUAUGGUGCCUUCACCACGGCUCGAGCCAUGCCAUCCAAGGCUCACGGCCCAAGUCGUGCCAUCCAAGUUUGCACGGGCCCAGGCCCAAGCCUCGCAUUCGCAUGCAUCACAUACUAAGCAGCCUGCUCCAGCCAAGCAACCUGCUCUCGCGGCCCAGCCUGCUCUUGCCAAGCAACCUACUCUCACGGCCCAUCCUGCUCCAGUGGGUUUCCAAGUAGCCCAAGUCGGCCCAAGACUAUCUUAACCAUCCGGACCUACCAUCGAGCCGGGGGCAUUCUCACCAUAUUUUUUCAUGGAUUUGACAUUUCCCAACUUAAAUCUCGCGCCCGGAGUCUACCACCCUUCCACUGCCCAAGGAGGCGCAUUCCUUCCAAGCUUUUCCAAUCCAAAUGGCGAACAACACUUGUCUCGACAAGUCAUAGAGUUGACGAGCGCCCUUGCACAACAGACAACCUUGGUGAAUCAACUUUUGCAACGCAUCGGGAUCCAACGUGCCCGGACGAGGUAUCCCGAAGUAGGACAAAGGCAGACAGACCUUUUCAGCAGUGUCUCGGUAAGCAGCCACUCGACUAGCCACAAGCCGAACGUUUGGGCAGUGUACAUUCCCGUCUUAGCGCGCGGAGAAGCAUGCACUCUCGACUAGGCCCACGGAUGAGCAUACAUUCACAGUUGGGGUCAUACUCCGAUAGUCAACAUGAGUAACCUUCCAGAAAAAUUGUCCAUUCGUGGCUAAGCCCACAAAGAGCAUCAUCCACCUCACAUCAGAGUAGGCAACACGACGGACGGAGAGAAGCAGUCACUCAAUCCAGCUCAAGUUCAACCAGCAGCCUGGGAAAAACUCGUUCGCCUGCUAGGAACGCACCACAUGCACUGCAUCCGCAACAUAGACGAGCCAAACACAUGGAAGAGCAGCCUAGACCAGCAAGUCAUGGCUGGGGGGCAGCCGAGAGCUCCGCUACCCUAACAAAGGCAAAUUCAGGAAGAAGUAGAGAGACUAUUGACCAAGCGAUUGCAUGAUUUCCAACGCAACGAGGUCACCGACGAGGCACUACGACGGAACAUGACCAACAUAAGCAGGUCACCCUUCACAGACGAGAUCGAGCAGGCAGAGCCUCCACGCGAGUUCAGCAUGCCACAUUUCACAUAUUUCAAAGGGGAUGAAGACCCAGAGAGACACUUAAAGCGCUACCGAAGCGCAAUGAUCCUUUAUUGAAACAACGAUGAUCUCAUAUGUAAGAUAUUCGCCACCACUCUACAAGGCGAGGUGCAAGAUUGGUUCUACACCCUACCGCCAUAAUCCAUCCAGAAUUUCUACGAACUUUCUUUGGUUUUCACCAAAGAAUAUUCAUCUUAUCGCCCGAUCAAAAAGAAGGUUGACCAUUUGUUCGACAUCAAGAAGAACCCAAAGGAAUCGCUUCGCGACUAUGUGAGGAGGUUCAAAGUAGAGAAGGCAAAAAUAGUCGGAUGCAACGACUCGAUAGCUAAAGCAGUCUUCCAAAAAGGACUUCCAGCAGACCACCCGCUAUUCAAAAAAUUGAUCAUGAAAGAAGAUCUAACUCUAGCAGACUCUUUUACUUUGGCAGAGAAGCAUGCAUUUUGGGAUGAGGCUUGCCAAUGCACAUUCAAGGACUUGAAGAAGUACCCGACAUCACUUCCAUAGAAGCAGCGGAUGACUUAUUCGCAUGUUUGACGGUAUCUAAAGUAGCAAUAAGCUCUACCAUCAUGCGAGAAGAGCUGGGGGCCCGACUACCUGUAUUCUACAGUUCGAUGCUAUUAAAAAUUUAAAAGCUGACUUUGGCGAUAAUUGUGUAACCCAAAAGCUUAAGUUUUACCUUCAAACGCAAGCAGUCAUCAUCAUGACGCACUAUUCCACCGAAUCCAAACCGACAACGAUAAAGGCGUAGACCCUGCCAGAUGCAAAGUUUUCUGACGAACGUAAGAACUCAGCCUAACGACGCCCCGAAGGCAGUCGAGCACACUUUGGCCACACCUGCUCCCUCAAUGGAGAUUUUUGGGGUUUGCAUGUCGACGGCGCAUCCAACUACGAAAGCUCGCGAGUAGUCGUGGUUCUUGCCACCCCAGACAUUUCAAUGCUCAAGCAGGCGAUCACUCUAAACUUCAAAGCAUCUAACAACGAAGCAGAGUACGAAGCCCCACUAGCAGACCUUCAACUGACAAAAGACUUGGUGGUGAACAAGCUUUCCAUUCAUUCCGAGUUCUAGCUAAUCACCAGCCAGACUACCAGGGGCAAAUGCAUGAUGAUCGUGGAAACCGACUACUUCACCAAAUAAGUAGAAGCAGAGCCCAUGACGAUCAUGUUUCAGACAGACAUAGAGCGCUUCAUAUGAAGGAGUAUCAUUUGUCGAUUUGGCAUCCCUUAAUCUAUCGUCACCGACAACGGCCCGUAAUUUAUGGGCAAAGAUUUGGUGAAGUUAUUCAAAAAAUAAGGCAUCAAGUAGCACAUGUCUACGCCAAGAUAUCCUCAAGGCAAUAGGCGGGCCAAAGCAUCUACUAAGAUGAUCCUCGACUGCCAUAAGAAAUCCCCCACCAAUAAGAAAAGAAAAUGGCCAGACGAACUCCAAGGAUGUCUAUGGGCAUAUCGCACAACCAAAAGACGAGCAACCGAAAGUAGAUGGCCACAAGCUUAGAUCUGGCAGAAGAGAGUCGCGAACAGACUAUCAUUCGCAUUGCAGCCUACCAGCAUCAGCUCCUCUCCAGCUACAACAAAAGGGCCAAGAUCCGGCAGUUCCAACCCGGAGAUCUGGUCAUAAGAAAAACCUUAAUCACUGCCAGCAGAAAAGGCUCCAAAAAUAUGGAUCCCAUAUGGGAAAGUCCGUACAAGAUCAGCAGAGUAGGUGGCAAGAACAAUUACACCCUCGCCACCAUAAAACGACUAAAAGAUCAAAAAACAGUGGAACGCCUACAAUCUGAGGAAGUACCAUGUGUGACAUUUCGCUACAUCAAAGCCCGAAGACUCAAGCAGCUCGACGGGCACUACCUCACCAGCCGAGGAUUAUCCAGUUGUUAUGCAGUUAUUACCUUACAUCUAAGUUCUCGUUCGUUUAACUCAUUUUUCAAUGAGGAAUUCAUAAGUAAUCACGACUUGGCUUGGUUGCAUGCUUACAACAACUGAUCACUCCUGCACUUCAAAAGAAGACCGCGCCCUUCUUAGGGACUUACUGCAGGAAUUGCGCCCCCCGAAGGACCAACCAUGCUCUUCAGUGCGAGAGGGUAAACUAAUUGCUCUCCAACGCGAGAGGGUAAACCAAUUCCCCGACACCCACAUGGGUCAGCUCUCCAAGAACGGGAGGAUAAACUCUACACUCUGAAUAUCCAGACGUGGAUGAGCCGGGCUGCCCUAGUAUAACUAGAUGCACGAUGGCUUGCGCUGGGAUUCCUAGAAGUAGCCGCAAUGGUCUUUUUCAAGGCUUAGCUAACUGAAGGAUUUUGGGUCUCUUGGCCUAAUCCGUGGGGAACCGGGCCCUAGAGACGGAGAGGGCACAUUACACAGUACAUCCGAUGGACGACUGCCCUGGAAUCCUAAAGCUGCUACCGAGUGCACUAAGGUAGCCUACGGAUUCCAGAAGACUGCCUACGGCUUGCCCUUCGAGCAGUAAAGCUGCACUAGACUUAUACAACCACACAUUCUUGUGAAAGGUUAAACAAGCUAGCACGCAUAUACGAAGUUUUAUCCACUGCCGACAUGCUACGUAGUCGAUAAGCUUCACCUCUGCUAAGCGCGGAACAACCUACACCAAGUCCUAAAGUGUUGUGAUACUUGCUACGCAACCUACGGAAUUGGAGAAAGUCAAGGUUAACAGCCUAGUGGUUACGCGGACUUGUCUGCUUCUAUAAGUAAGGCAUCCGGCUGCCAACCCAAUGGCUAACAACUUUGCAAAGUUCUACACCAAAACCUACGGCUGCAUAGGCUACAUGAGCAUGUCUGCUUAUAAAAAAAUAGCAUGCUUGCCACUGGUCUAUCAAGUCUAAAGGUUAGGGCAUGAACAAAAGAAGCAAAAAUGAAGAAAAGCUAAGGAAAACAUGUUUAUAAACGACUAGCAAAGGCCGAAAGAGUUCAAGCAAAACAAGAGCUACAAAGAAAAUCUUAAAGGUUGCCUAGAUGACUACACUUUAGCAGCCUGGACAUCCGACGACUAUUCGGUCGCCACAUCUUCAGCAGCCGCGAAGCUCUUAGCAGCGGCAUCACCCCCGACUGCUCCAGCCUGGGCACCAACUUCUCCAACUACUUCACCAAUACCAACAUGGACGCGCUGCAGCUCAUCCACUUCUUUCUUCAAACUUUCGUUGAUAUUCAGUACACCUUGAAGUUCCAACAUUUGGGGUUCAAGCCUAUCGACGAUUCUCUUGAAGUGGAUCACUUGAUUAUAAGCAGCAAUCAACUUUUCAUCCUUUGCAUAAGCAGGGAAAGAAGUCUUUGGUUUUUUCUAAGCCGUUAUCUCUUGAACAGGCAGGGAAGAUCCCUUUUCCCACCUUCACAUGCAGCAGGAUCCACAGCGGUGAUUGGACGAGCCAAUGCAUCCGCCUUGAUCCUAUUCACCUCUUAUUUUGGGAGCAGCCCAUGUUUGUCCUGACGAAGAGAGUUAAAGUAGCCAACGCCAUUCAUGGUACCUAGCAGGGGAGUUCAACCCAACAUUCCAGCAGCUCAUGAGGCCCACAACCUUUUCAUUUCUCUCAAUCACCUGCCUAGCUCGCGUCAUGUCUAAAAGCCCAAAAAGACAUGAGCCAUGUGAUUCGCCUAGCACUGCGCCACAUCGCCACAAUCCGUGGCCUUAGCCAUACAAGCUGCCUUUGGUUCUAGCCAAGUCGAGCAGUUUAAAGCAGUGGUCCCUGCCACAAUACCUCAUCGGCCCAUGUCGAGCCGACUCCUGGCCCAUGCUAGCCAACAUGCCGCACCACCCCGACGGCUGCCCCAAGGUAGCACCAUCCAAGAAGAAGACAAGGAAAAUUAAUUUUUUCUUACCUCAGUGCGGCAUGAAGAAGACGAAGAAAGCAACGAAAGACGGUCCUUUGCACGUGCAAGAUGUAGAAAAUUGCUAGAGGAGGGGGAACAAAUAUCCUCUAAGCUAUCUCUCUCUUGUAGGAUACAAUAAAUCGUUCUCCAAAGUUGAUUUAAUAACCCACUUAAGGUGGACUUAAAUAGGAUUUGAGAGAAAUUUAUUUCCCUUUCCUAGAAGGAUCUAAUUUCCUAUUAAAGAGAGAAUCUACAUCAAAAUAGGAAGCAGUCCCACGUUUCCUAAAGCAAGAUGAUCUCUACACCUGCUGCAAUUUCCUACGAGCAGCCCAACAGGUGUGGGGGCAUUUGUGGAGCAAAAAAUAAUCACAAGGCGACACGUGGAUUCUUGGGUAAAAGAGGACAAAAAUACCCUUGAGGCAUACUGGGAUUCCUACGCGCGAGCAACGGGCAAUCAUCCCUAAACCAAGUCAAAAGUGCCCAAAAUAGAUAACAAUUUAAUGCCUAUUUCAUCAAAUCCUUUCUAUAAGGUAAUUCCUAAAACCAAAUUUAUUCUAUAUAUUUUGUAUUCCAUUAUUUAGCUAAUCAAUUAGCUAAAUGAUAUUUUCCUUUCAUAUUCCCUAAAAAUUGAUUAAUUAAGGGAUUAAUUACCUAAUCAAUCACUUAAUUAUCAAUUAAAACACCCAUUCACACCUAAAACUACUAAGAGGUCGGCCACCUCCCUUUUCCUAACCUUUUUCACUUUUCUCCAUUUUAUUACCCCAUAUACAAAUAAUCAAUUUUGUAACUCCUAAUUAAACCUAAAUUAAACCCAAAAAACCCAGCCACCUCCUAUCCCUAUAAAUAUACUCUCAUUCUCACCAAAAAAGCCAAUUCCAACACUUUGUAAAAAAUCCCAAAAUUCUCUAAACACUCUUUCUCUUUAAAUUCUAACUUUGGCAUCGGAGGUUUUUCGGCCAAAGCCCCCCCAUUCAUUGUGGGCGCGCGAGGCUCUUGGCCUUAACCUAAGGUGUUAAUUGUUUUGUAGGUGCAAAAUUGUCCAAGAUCAAGGAGGAAGAAAUUUGCAUCCACACGGGUCUUGCCAAGAAUCAUGCAAUUCAACACCAUCAAAUUAAUCGUCCCAUUAGGUAAAGUUUCCGGCUUUGCAACAAAACUCUAUAGUGGUGGAGCCAAAAAACCAGAUUAGGAAGGGCCUUUCAGCCAUAGAAAGAAAUGAGCCUUUAAAAUAUAAUUAAUGACGAGAAAUUAAAGGUUUUGUUUUUUGUAUUGGCAUGGAAAAUUCUAAUAAAACAAGAAUGGUAGAACUUUACAUUUUGUAUAGAAAACUUAGUAUUGAAAUAAUUAUAUCAUAUGAACAAAACUUGUUUCAAGCUUUGAUAAAAAUAAAAAAAAUAAAAAAUAGAUUCGAACAAAAAUCUAAGAUCAUGACUUAAUUAGAUUUUUCUCUAGACUAUUUAGGCCUUUGAUUUAUAUCAACUAGCUAAAAAAAAGUAUGAUUUUUAUAUGGUAAAACGUAAGGCAAAUUAUAACCAAAAAAAAGGAGGGCUUAGUUUUAUUAUGGGGAAAAAUAAGGCAAAGUAUAAGGAUUUUGCUUCCAAUUUAAUCACAGAUUGGAAAUGUGUUCAUCUGUAAUUUGCUAGCAGCAAGAGUUGUUGCUGAUUUUUUCAGCAGUCAAGUUUUGUUCCAAAAAAAUAAACAUCUAAACAGUGUCGGAGCACAAGCAAGUCUCCAACCGAGACCAUUUGGAUAUGCAAAAAGCCAAAAUCCAAUGAGCUACAUGCUCAUUUUGGUAAAAGCUUGCAGACAACAUAUAUAAGACCUGAAAUUUCAAGAUAGGCCAUCACUGGUCUCUAUCUGGCUCCGCCACUGAAACUCUACAAAUAUAAAAAUCAUAACCCAAUUUAGACGAUAAAUUUAUGGAAGCAUAUAAAUAGAGAAAUAAUUUGCUAUUUUAAAAAAUUAUAUCCAUGUAAUCAUAUAAUAUGUAGCAAACCUCGUUGAGAAGAAAUUGAGAAUUUUGUAAGAUGAAGACUUUGUGCACAUUUAUUUAUUUAUUUUUUCUGAUUUCCUAGAAUGAAAUGAGAUUUGGGGGAGGAUAUAUCGGCAGUUUAGUUUGAUAGAAGCUACUUUUUGCUCAACGUGGGUGCCGUUUUUCCAUUUUUCACAUUCAAUUUUUUUAUUGAGGGUUCAUCACGUCCAUUUUUUAAUUUUAUUUUCAUGUUUACAAUCAUCCUGCGUUUUUUUUAAUUGUAUUUUCUUAUUAUUAUACAUUUUAAUGGGUGGGAUCUUAAUCUCUCUCCUAAAAUGGAGGAGGAGUGGGGUUAAUAUCUCCUUAAUCAGCAUGUCUUAAAUGAAAGAGCAGUAUGGCUAAUCUCUCCUUAAUCGGCAUGUCUUCCCCCUUUUUUUUUAUUUUUUUUCCUUUUUUUCUUCUAAUAAAAGGAAUUAAAUAUUUUUUUUCUUUACACAAUUGCCCUUACUUUUUUUUUUUCAUAUUCUAGAAUAUGCCCACAAACAAAUUGUGUGGACAUUUUUACUUUUGUUUUUAAAAUUGAGGGAGAGAGGAAGAGAGUGAAAGAAAAACGUGGGAAUGGGGAGAGAUGGAUAGAGGUUUAUUUUUUUAUAUAUAUUUUUUUAAUUAGAGAUGAUAAAAUUACAUGUAUGUGAUGUUUAAACAAAACAAAAAAAUAAAUUUUUGUUUUAUGAAAUUAUGUUAUUGUCCUUAACUUUUUUUGUAGUGAUAAAAACAAAUGUCUUUUUCACAUUUUUUGGGUUGAUAAAGAAGGUUUCAAUAAUAUAGUACAUAUUUUGUAUCAAUAUGAUAAGUCGGUUUACAAGCAUUUUUAGUCCAAGUGUAAUGGUUGGGUUCAAGCUUAAAAUUUAAGUUUUAAAUCCCCCGAAAGCAUUUCCAGUCAUUAGGUUUUAUUAGGUCUUGGUGAGAAAAAAAACACCAUUGGCCCAGAUUCCGCCCACAAUUUAAUAUUUGUACUUAUCAAUUGACAUUCUUUCAUUUUAUUUUUUUUAGUUGAAAAAUUUUAUGAACUUUUGCACCGUUAUAUUUAAAUUAAGAUACUGCAAGUCUCUUAACUUGAAAAGAGAAAAAAGCAUAAACCCUAUUAAACCAUUAUUUAACUAAUAAAAUAGUAUAUAAUAAAGAAGUUAAUAGAAAACCUAUCGUAAAUACAAACAGAAUGACUUGCACCAAAGCCUAUUAAACCAAAAAGAAAUAAUGAGAAUGUAGAGAGGAUAUUAAUAUUUGUAAAUGCAAAGAAGUAAAUGAAACAUACACCCACUACUGGUCCAAAUUUGUAAUCCUUAUUUUAGAUUGUUAAAAUGAAACUCAAAAUGAACGAUGCUAAGUAUACAUGUAUGCUGUCUUUGCUUGCGAAACUCAAGCAGUUUACAAAAGCUAAGAAACUCUAUACUGAAUAGAAUUCUGUUUCGGAGACACUAGGGUUUCAAAUAUACUCCUUGCAGCAUACAUCAAAGAAAACCAAACGAAAGGACUGAAACCUUUCAUAGUCGGAUGGAGCAGAAUAUACUUCUUCCGUAUUUUCCCUAUGAAACCAACUUCAAAACUGAUUAUACAAAUUAAAAAUUUUCAAACAUUCAAUUACCUAGAAACCACAGUGGUGGAAAUGAAUUGAGCCAUUGCAUGAUAGCGUGUCUUCGAACCACAUCGGUGGCUAAUCUAAUAAAACUUAUCGUUUGACAAAAAAAAUUCAAUUACCCAGAAACCAAAAAUGGAAAUUUUAUUAAAUUAAAUUAAAAUAAACUCAUUGACAAAAGGAACAUAAAAAUGAAAAUUUCUACUAAAUUAAUUAAUACAAACUAAUGCACAAGAGGAGCAUAAACAACCUUUUGAAUUAAUCUAAAGAGAUACAAACUAAAAAUACCGGUCUUGCCAAGAAUCAUGCAAUUCAACACCAUCAAAUUAAUCGUCCCAUUAGGUAAAGUUUCCGGCUUUGCAACAAAACUCUAUAGUGGUGGAGCCAGAAAACCAGAUUAGGAAGGGCCUUAGAAAUUAGCCUUUAAAAUAUAAUUAAUGAAGAGAAAUUAAAGGUUUUGUUUUUUGUAUUGGCAUGGAAAAUUCUAAUAAAACAAGAAUGGUAGAACUUUACAUUUUGUAUAGCAAACUUAGUAUUGAAAUCAUUAUAUCAUAUGAACAAAACUUGUUUCAAGCUUUGAUAAAAAAUAAAAAACAGAUUUGAACAAAAAUCUAUGAUCAUGACUUAAAUUAGAUUUUUCUCUAGAAUAUUUAGGCCUUUGAUUUAUAUCAACUAGCUAAAAAAAAGUAUGAUUUUUAUAUGGUAAAACGUAAGGCAAAUUAUAACAAAAAAAAAGGAGGGCUUAGUUUUAUUAUCGGGAAAAAUAAGGCAAAUUAUAAGGAUUUUUGCUUCCAAUUUAAUCACAGAUUGGACACGUAUCCAUCUGUAAUGUGCUAGCAGCAAGAGCUGUUGCUGAUUUUUUUAGCAGCCAAGUUUUGUUCUAAAAAAAAAUCUAAAAAGUGUCAGAGCACAAGCAAGUCUCCAACCGAGACCAUUUGGAUAUGCAAAACGCCAAAAUCCAAUGAGCUGCAUGCUCAUUUUGGUAAAAGCUUGUAGACAGCAUGUAUAAGACCUGAAAUUUUAAGAUAGGCCUGGGCCAUCACUAGUCUCUAUCUGGCUCCGCCACUGAAACUCUACAAACAUAAAAAUCAUAACCCAAUUUAGACGUUAAAUUUAUGGAGGCAUAUAAAUAGAGAAAUAAUUCGCUAUUUAAAAAAAAAUCUAUCCGUGUAAUCAUAUAAUAUGUAGCAAACCUUGUUGAGAAGAAAUUACGAAUUUUGUAAGAUGAAGACUUUGUGCACAUUUAUUUUUUCUGAUUUCCUGGAUUGAAAUGAGAUUUGUGGAAAGAUAUAUCGGCAGUUUAGUUUGAUAGAAGCUAUGUUUUGCUCAACGUGGGUGCAGUUUUUCCAUUUUUCACAUUCAAUUUUUUUUUAUUGAGGGUUCAUCACGUCCCUUUUUUAAUUUUAUUUUCAUGUUUACAAUCAUCCUGCGUUUUUUUUAAUUGUAUUUUCUUAUUAUUAUACAUUUUAUGGGAUAUUAAUCUCUCUCCUAAAAUGGAGGAGGAGUGGGGUUAAUCUCUCCUUAAUCAGCAUGUCUUAAAUGAAAGAGCAGUGGGGCUAAUCUUUCCUUAAUCGGCAUGUCUUCCCCCUUUUUUAUUUUUUAUUUUUUUUCCUUUUUUUCUUCUAAUAAAAGGAUUUUUUUUCUUUACACAAUUGCCCUUACCUUUUUUUUUGAUAUACUAGUAUAUGCCCACAAACAAAUUGCGAGAAUUUUUUACUUUUGUUUUCAAAAUUAAUGGAGAGAGGAAGAGAGCGAAAGAAAAAUGUGGGAAUGGGGAGAGGUGGACAGAGGUUUAUUUUUUAUUUUUUUUUAAAUUAGAGAUGAUAAAUUCACAUGUAGGUGUGGUUUAAACAAAAAAAGUAAAAUUUUUAUUUGUGAAAUUACGUUAUUGUCCUUUUUUUUGUGAUAGAAAACAAAUGUCUUUUCAUACUCUUUUAGUUGACAAAGAAAGUUUCAAUAAUGUGGUAUAUAUUUUGUAUCAUUAUGAUAAUUCAGUUUACAAGAGUUUUUAGUUCGAGUGUAAUGAUUGUGUUAAAGCGUAAAAUUUAAGUUUUAAAUCCCCUAAAAGCAUUUCCCAUCAUUAGGUUUUAUUAAGUCUUGGUGAGAAAAAAAACCAUUAGCCCAAAUUCCGUCCACAAUUCAAGCCAUAACCGUUGGAGAAAAAAACUGUGUAUGGGUUAUGGCUUAAAAUUUUAAGCUUUAACUCACAUCAUUGCACCUGGUCUUCAAUUGGUUUGUAAUGCUCAUAAGCGUUUGUUCUACAAGUGCUUUCAUAGAGAAACAUUGGAUCUUUUAUUAAAUGUUCAAAUACUUAUUGGAAAAUCACUUGGAAGUGCUUCCUAAAUCAUCGGUUGCUAAAUGCGUUUCUAUAAAACGCUUCUAUGAUACAUAAGUAGUUCACAAAUGCUUCUAAUUACAAUUUUCUUUCUCGACAACCAUAAAGACUUCUGAUUGCCUUUGUCAAUAUAAUUUAUAACCGCUUACGGGUCUUAGAAGUGUUUUUCCUAAAGAAGCUGCCAUGUGAUUUUUUCAUAAAGUAGUUGGAUUUUCAAUAAGAUUUUUAGAUGAGUUUUUCUAAAGAAGCUGCUAUACAGGCCGUAUUCUUUUGGAUGAGUGCUGUGAUCCGUAUCCCAUAUCUGCAUCUGUACCACAUCGUCUGCUAGAUUGAGACGAGAAUAAGUCCUUGAAUCCACGACGUACUUAUCUAGCUUUGCUAAUGUUUACAUCCCGACUACCAUGAAAGCAUAAUAAAGUUAUGGCGGGUGCCCGGUGAAUAUAUGAGUAUCGAACAACUAAAGCACGCAGAAGUAUAAGCCGGACUCACAAGUCGGCAAACGCUCAUGCUUGUAAUCGAAGGGAGUCAGGGGACUGCGCUACAGAACUAACAGCCUCCUUAGCCUCAGCAGACUCAGCUGUUUUGCUGACUUAGUUCUGUAAUCGACAGCUUCCUUCCGUCAUUCCUGACUGCCAUGUAAGCCUCUCGCGCAGGUGAAGGUGAGUUUUAAUGGCAUGGCGGCAGGCCAUUCUGUCCCUCCCACCCUAAGUGGGGCCUCUGAGAAUCCCAAUUGCUUGAGCAGGAGGAAGAACAGAGAAGAUGGUUUUGGAGAAGGUAAACAGGUAAAAAGAACAUAAAAGAUAAAAUUCAAACAAGAUCAAACGGUGAAUCUAAGAGAGAAUUUAGAAAGAAAAUAGGCUUCAUUGGCAAAAUACUGGAAUACAAUGUUGAACAAAAUGACCAAGAUCACUAAACGUCCUACAUCUUGGAUUUUAGAAUACCAUAAAAAAAGUACCAAAUUUCAAAACUUAAACUAAGAAACACAUCUUGGCUCAACAAAAACAGCUACAUCGACUUCUUCCAUCUUGGGACCAGCACUGCUGCCACCAGCAGGAGGAACAUCUUCAUCCAUGGCACCACCGACAUCAGGUCUGCCAGCCCUGGUGCACCUUGGAAAUGAUCGGAUUGCAGAUGCUCUCCAGCUCCUUCAGCUUGUC
rnacentral:lncRNA from 1 species